ACAGCACACCAUGACAUUUAAAAGUGCUGGUGAUGUAGAGUUUUCAUACAAGCUAGUUGUUUACUUAUGAUCAAAAUAAACCAUAAUGUCCUGAGAUGCCGAAUUAUAAAGUAGGCCAGCAGUACCUACACGAACAGACGGCUGCGGGUCGCGCUGAAUGCUGGGAUACCGGAGACACGCCGGCCGUCGAACGCGGUCAGUGACGUAAUGGAUGUUUACAAUGACAGACUGUACUGUUACAUCACGGACACUGCGUUACACAUGCAGAACAGUCUGAGCAGGUUAUAUCUCAAGCAUCUAUCAAACUUAAAACUGUUUACAAGACAGAAAUAUCACAAAUACCAAGGACAAGAUUCAUAACUUCACAAGUUUUAUGUCAAACACAGUCAUGGACAAUUUUGUAUCUCCAAUUUACCUCACUUUGUACUGUGGGAGGAAACUGGAGCGCCCGGUGGAAACCCACACAGACACCCGGGGAGAACGUGCAAACUCCAGACAGAAAGGACCCGGACCGCUCCACCUGGGGAAUAAACCCAGGACCUUCUUGCUGUGAGGUGACAGUACUACUUACUGAGCAAAAAAUAUAUUAAUUCACAGCCUGUAUAAGAUUUAAAAUGUAUUAUCCUUAACCAGAUAGUACAAAGAAAAGCUAUUUUGGUAAAAUGCAGUCAAAAAAUAAAAAGCAUCUGUGAUUUGUUAAA